rnacentral:rRNA from 1 species
UACCAUAAAAAUAAGCACCGGCUAACUCCGUGCCAGCAGCCGCGGUAAUACGGAGGGUGCAAGCGUUAUCCGGAUUUAUUGGGUUUAAGGGUCCGUAGGCGGGCCGAUAAGUCAGUGGUGAAAGCCCAUAGCUCAACUAUGGAACUGCCAUUGAUACUGUCGGUCUUGAGUAUAUGUGAUGUUGGCGGAAUGUGUAGUGUACCGGUGAAAUGCUUAGAUAUUACACAGAACACCGAUUGCGAAGGCAGCUGACAAAUAUAUAACUGACGCUGAGGGACGAAAGUGUGGGGAUCAAACAGGAUUAGAUACCCUGGUAGU